rnacentral:rRNA from 1 species
CAGUCGCCGCGGGAAUACGGAGGGUGCAAGCGUUAAUCGGAAUUACUGGGCGUAAAGCGUGCGUAGGCGGUUCGUUAAGUCUGUUGUGAAAGCCCCGGGCUCAACCUGGGAAUGGCAAUGGAUACUGGCGAGCUAGAGUGUGUCAGAGGAUGGUGGAAUUCCCGGUGUAGCGGUGAAAUGCGUAGAGACCGGGAGGAACAUCAGUGGCGAAGGCGGCCAUCUGGGACAACACUGACGCUGAGGCACGAAAGCGUGGGGAGCAAACAGGAUUAGAUACCCCCGUAGUCCCUGUCUCUUAUAC